rnacentral:rRNA from 1 species
AUUGAACGCUGGCGGUAGGCCUAACACAUGCAAGUCGAGCGGCAGAACGGUGCUUGCUCCCGCAUUCAGGUGCCGACUGGCGAGCGAUGCCUAGGAAUCUGCCUGGCUGUGGGGGCUAACGUCCUAACACGGGCGCUCAUACCCCAUAAGCCCUGAGGGCGUACGGGUGGGAGCUUCGGACCUCCCGCUCUUGGAUGAGCCUAUGUCGGAUUAGCUAGUUGGUGGGGUAAAGGCCUACCAAGGCGACGAUCCGUAGCUGGUCUGAGAGGAUGAUCAGCCACACUGGAACUGAGACACGGUCCAGACUCCUACGGGAGGCUGCAGUGGGGAAUAUUGGACAAUGGGCGAAAGCCUGAUCCAGCCAUACCGCGUGUGUGAAGAAGGUCUUCGGGUUGUAAAGCACUUUUAGUUGGAAGGAAGGGCAGUAGGUUAAUACCUUGCUGUUUUGACGGUACCAAAAGAAUAAGCACCGGCUAACUUCGUG